rnacentral:rRNA from 2 species
GAUCUUCUCCUUCAUGGGAGAUGAUUGAAAGAUGGUUUCGGCUAUCACUUACAGAUGGGCCCGCGGUGCAUUAGCUAGUUGGUGAGGUAACGGCUCACCAAGGCAACGAUGCAUAGCCGACCUGAGAGGGUGAUCGGCCACACUGGGACUGAGACACGGCCCAGACUCCUACGGGAGGUCAGCAGUAGGGAAUCUUCCGCAAUGGACGAAAGUCUGACGGAGCAACGCCGCGUGAGUGAUGAAGGCUUUCGGGUCGUAAAACUCUGUUGUUAGGGAAGAACAAGUGACAAGAGUACACUGCUUGUCACCUUGACGGUACCUAACCAGAAAGCCACGGCUAACUACGUGCCAGCAGCCGCGGUAAUACGUUAAGGUGGCAAGCGUUAUCCGGAAUUAUUGGGCGUAAAGCGCCGCGCAGGCGGUUUCUUAACGUCUGAUGUGAAAGCCCACGGCUCAACCGUGGAGGGUCAUUGGAAUACUGGGGAACUUGAGUGCAGAAGAGAAAAGCGGAAUUCCUCUAACGUGUAGCGGUGAAAUGCGUAGAGAUGUGGAGGAACACCAGUGGCGAAGGCGGCUUUUUGGUCUGUAACUGACGCU